AGCCCCGCAGGCCUCAGCCAGGGAGGCCGAGCAGCUGCCUGUGCGCGGCCGGGGGCAGCGCAGCCCCUGCAGGGACCGGAGCCUCCCCCACGACUCACUGCAGAGAGCGGCAGCGGACGCUCCCCCUGCUGGCUAGGAGCGGAGAGCGAGGACGCCCAGGUGUGGGGCAGCAUCCUCUGGCCUCCCGCCUGGUUAAACCCAGAGAUCCCGCCCGGGCCUGGCUCCCCCUGCGUUCACCAGGCAGGCAGUGCCCUUCCACUUGGUGAACCUGGGCGCUGGACACGGAGAAGGGACGUGUGCUCAGCUGCGGCCGGGCACAGGCCUGGGACACUGAACAGCACAGCCAGGCCGGGCUGGGCAGGGACGGCGCCUCCCCUCGGGGCUGCCGGGCCGGGCGUCCCCUCUGCGUCUCGCAGGCUUGUGCACGCUCGGCAGGACCGCGCGGCGCGCCCAUCUCUCCCAUUCCUUUCCACGUCUGCGCCUGGGAACGACGACCUAGCAGGCACCAGGAGCGCCCCGGUUUCUAAAGAGGUCAGCCGACAACUCUCGAAAACAUCGCGAGAGCAGGCGACCUCAGCACCUGCUAGAGUUUGUCUGAUUUAUCCGCAUCUCAUUGGUGACAGGCAGCGUGAAACCACUGCUGUCCCGGCACGUCAGGCACCGGUAGACUGGCAGCGCCAGAAGCUGAAUGCUUGCCUGCACACGGCGGCUGAAGGACCAUCUCCAAAGACCUGGUCUACACCGCCAGUAUCACAAUGGAUGCUUUCAGUCACAGUGAAGUAAGAGACUGGAUUUAUUUUCCUGCUUUGAACAAAAAUUUGCACAAAAUAUAUGAAACUACAGUUGUCACACCAGACUGCAGGCAGUGGGGAGCCUGACAGCGGGAGACCAGGAGGCCAGCCUUGGGCUGCUCCUCCCGGAGUCCCCACCCCUCAGGAGAAGAAAGCCAGCCGCCGGGCCGGGCGGCCCGGCUGGCAGAGAGGGGGCUGCACGGAGAAGGCGCUGGGGCGAUCCAGGGGCCCCCUUGCGUCUCUGCACACGUGCAUGAGGACACUGCUGUACCUGAGGCAAGAAAAAGAGCUCCCACUAGGACUGGAAUAGUUGUAGUUCCCGCCAACCAGAGGAAAAAUCCUGAAACUCACAGAAUACCAGAGACUAAUUAGAAGAGUAUUGCAUCAGUACUUGGAAAAAUCAUAAAAGCUAUGCUGGUACCAUCUAGCAACAUUUAAAAGCAGGAACAAGGUCAGCCAGGCACAGUGACACACACCUAUAACCUCAGCGUUCUGGAAGGCUGAGGUAGGGCGACUCCAAGUUUGAGCGCAGCCUCGGCAACAUACCAACUUAGCAAGACCUCGUCUCAAAAAAAAAACCCAUUAUGCUGAAGACUGAAGUUUUAAAAAUUUUUGCUUGUAAUGCAUGUACGUUACCUAGAAAAAUUCAAGGAACAAGAAUUUGAAAGAACAUAUUUCAUUAUAUUCCUUUGUUAUGUGUGUUCCAAAAAUGGAUCUCUAGGCAUUGAAGGGUUAAAAAGGGCUGGGGAAAUAGCUCAAUGUGAAGGCCCUGGGUUCAAUUCCUAGUAUCUCCCUUGCUGUUCCUAGGUAACAACUACAUCCUAUGACAGACUUAAAAAAAAAAAGAACAAAGCAUCCAAAAACCAUGAGGGUACUUGUAUUCACUUCCUGUUGCCAUGAUAACAUACCCGAGAAAAUCAACUCAGGAGGCUGAGGCAGGAGGACCGUACACAGCAAGACUCUAUCUCAAAAUAAAAAGGACUGGGAAUGUAGCUCAGCACUCCCUGGCUUCAACCCUCAGAGCCUCCCAACCCCCCAAAAGAGCAAGACUUUUAGGAGAGCUUUCUGUAAACCCGCAUACAGCUCUCAGUUACAAAGGAAAGGCAGCGCUGCACAGUGGAGAACCUGCCGGAGCCAUCUUGGCCCAGUGACCCAGGAUCACCUCAUGGGAGAUGCAGCCCACAUCCCCAGAUGGGGCGCACUGAGGACAGGGCUUUUCUCAGCUUCCUCUCGGCGAGAAUGGGGAGACAGCCUCAGAUGAGCCCAAAUUCAGAGGCACCUGUAGAAUACCUAACCAGUGUGCAUCAAGUGUAAAGGUCAUGAAACUCAAGAACACACUUGGGAGCACUCGGCCUACAGGAGAAGAAGCAAUCACCAGAUGCAGCGUGGCCCAUGCGCCUGGGCUCCGGCACAGGAAAAGAACCUGGCAGAAUGGAAACCCAAGAGCAUUUAUGGUUCAGAGUGUGGCACUGACGCCAAUUUCCCGGUUUUCUGUUCUUUUACUGUGGUUAUGCAAGGUGGCCCUGGCGAGCAGUGUGAGGCGUGCACAUCUCUGCACCUCCUUUAAACACAAACUGUUGUCACCUGACAUGUAACACUGCCCGCCAUCUCUGCUCCCUAACUACUCACGACCAUGCGUGUGCUUGGCCAGGAGGCUUGAAAGCUGAAGCAUGGAUGGUGUUGGAAGCACUUUAGAGUCAGAGCCAGUGGCCUUCGCAUGCUGUGUUCUGUAUUUUGUAUGCACGUGGGUGUGUGAGUGCUAACACAAUGAAAGUCUGCAUGUAAAGUCUCCCUGCAUAUAUCUAAUGAGGGAAGUGCCUCCCUGGAGAAUUGCCUCCUGCUCUCUGGCUUCCAUUUGCUCCUCUGAUACCCCCAGAGCCCGAGUGUGAGCUCCAUCUACCUCAUCACUCUGCCUGGGAUCUUACUGUACUCAUAAGGAAAGCAAACCUGUUCCCCAGGACUGCUAAUCUGAGACCUAGAGGGAGCAGGGAAAGGGCACAUUACUAGAACCUCUGCAGUGAGUCCUAGUCUCCUGCGAGCCACCACAGCACAAGGCGAAUUAACUUAUUACACAGGAAAGGUAGAAAAAUGAGACUUUGAGAAGCUGAGCUUUGGGCCUGAUCAGUGCUGCUUUGGGCGGGAAAAGAUGACAGGGCCCCCCCGCCCCCCAGCUUGGCGAACCUGUUAUUCAACAAAUGUAACAAAUGACUCCAGACAGAGUUCAGUACAUGGGGAGAAACAAAUGUAACAGAUGACUGGGGAGCAGCGGAAUUCCUAGAUCAAUGAGGAACUAUGCAGAUGAAGAUUUGGUUCCCCCCAGGAUGCCUUCAGCUGCUGUAAUCUGGUCCUGGAGCAUCACAGCAUCACCGGACCAUUGAAGUCUCAGUUGUGACCAGAGGCCAAAAUGAAGUUUUGUCUUGAAAUGGCAUAGCUGGCCGGUAGGCAGGAGAACUAGGCCUAAUCAAAUGAUUUUUCCCCAAAAUUAUGUAGCAUUGCUCCUGACAGAGAACUGCAUGAGGACAGACAUGGCCAGAACUGCUGGUGGCCUUCUGCCCUCAUGGUGGAGAGACUGAUGCUAUGCCUGAUUUCAUGUCUGGAGUUUUCAGUUAUGUACACUCAUUUUCAUUUUUUGUGCUUUGACUUUGAGUUACAUUUUUACCAUUUGUAAUGAAGGGUCCCUUCCCUUGUACACUGACCUAUGCUCUCCCUUAUUCUUAGAAAUAUUGAGGCAAGUUACAUUCACAGAAGAGAAGCAAAAAUAAAUUAAGAAAGAAUGAAGUAACACGACUGUUACAAUAAAGCGAGGAGGAAGUGACUACUCCAGACGACACAUUGCACGGCCGGAAAACAGGCCUGGUACAGGCAGCAAACCUUGGCUGAACACUUGUGACAAAUACUGUGGCGGAUGCUUUACUCUUUCCCGGCAGGGCAGAUACUUAUCUCCAUUUUGCAGACCAGGCUGCCAAAGCACGGAGAAAUUGUUCCUUGCCCGACUGUCACAGCUAACAAAAUUGAAGGAGGGAUCUGAAACCAAAACACUCUUCAGAGCCUGCAUUCUAAAGCAGUAUAGGCGCGUGACACAUUUUUUGUCACAGAGGAACAUAAACAUGGCUGUUUAUGCUCACGUGUUUAAACCCAUGUUUAUUCUUUAGAAUAUUUCUAUUGAUGAAUUUUUAAUUUUGAGUUUUAUUAUAUUAAAAAAUGAGUGCUUAAAUGGAAAAAAAUCACAAAAAUAAAGCAUUGAACUUUUAAUAUUUAUUGAAUGUUUAUAAAAGCAUCGAAAUUUCCCACAUUGACUGGCUUUUGGUGUAUAAAGUCUAAAAAGGAACAACAGAAAUAAAUUCCUAUAUGAACUACAAUGAAAAUACCAAUAGCACUCUAUAAAAAUAAUCUUUACUCCGAUUAUCACUCUUCACACAUGACAACAGCACGUUCCAUGCAUGUCUUGCGUACACUGACAGCAUAUGUGCUUAGCUUUUUAAAAAUUUUUUGCUUAAGAGUAGGAAAAGUUGAUUGAGAGAAAGACAGCUUUUGUCUCAGAGAGACAGAAGAGGAACUGGGAAAUGGGUUGCCCACCGACCCUACUUCUCAAAGGUGUUUUAUGGGACAAAGCCACGAGGUGAGGCGGGUUCAAGGUGGCACAAAACUAUAGUCAACUAGUAAGACUGCAAGUGCAGUUGCUUAGCUAAUAUUGAUCCAAUGAGAAAUCACAAGGUGGACAAAAGUAUGAUCAACCAAUAAGAUUACAGCAGUAUAGUCACCUAGGUAAUAUUGAUUAAAUGGGGAUCCAAUGUUAGCUUUCCUUUCCUAUGUGGCAGGCCAUUCUUGUCACCUCUGUUUUCUAUUAGAUUGUACAAUGUGCAUUUAGUGGGAAAAUAAGAUCAAUAAAAUAAAAUAUUAAAUGUGUAAUGAGUGUUUAGAAGACAUCAAUAUUUUCACAUCAGCUGCGUACUUACAAAACCUAAGAGAUAACAUCAGAAAUAAAAACCUAUGUGAACUACAGUGUAAAAGUCUACCACAGAAACAGUCUUUGCUUUCAUUGUCACACCCAAGGUAGUUUUCACACAUGACAACUGGAUGUCCCAUACACGAGUGUCACUUACACCGAUAGCACAUAUGUUUUGUUUUCCUGUCCUUUCUUGUAGGGCACAGUUGACAUCUUUUUGGUUUUCCUGUUGUCGUGGUAGGCCUUCGGGAUGCUGCACCUGCCCCUUCACCUGUCAGCUUUCCAGUGUACUCCACUAUUUUUUUGCAUAGUUCCUUGGGCAGAAACAUUUUGUUUUUCCUCUGCUGUAAAUGAUCUUUUCUGAGUUCCAG
ensembl:lncRNA